rnacentral:sRNA from 1 species
UGCCUUUGUGUUCCUGUGCUGGAGCUGC